GGCCCUAAAUCAAUCUUUGACUGUAAUUACAAUCAAAUAGCAGAUGCUUAUUAGUUUCAGCAGCAUCAGAACAUAAGGCACACAAAUCAUCAGUCACCAUUCCAUACUAUUUUAGCUUUUCCUUUGUUCUGAGUCUUCCCCAAGCAGCCAUCCAAGUAACAAAUCGAAGCUUAGGGAUAUUAUAUCUGUUCCAUAUCCAAUUGCACCAAGGAACAUCAGUAUGACUAGUGUAAAGCCACCUGUAAACACUAGCCCCUCUUGUAAGUUUCCCGCGGCCUAGCCCCUUAUCUGCACCCAAAAAAAAAAAAAAAAAAAAAAAAAAAAAAAAAAAAAAAAAGCUUGUAAGUUGUUGUAGUCUUGUACUCACUACGUAGUCUCUAACAAUUCCCGCCAAAACAAAAACAUUUGAAACUCACAAUUGGGGCGAGGUCUCUCUCAAUGUCAUCUCUAACAAUCAAGAAUUCUUCAAUUUUCGUACUAAAUUUGUGUUCGCGUAAUUGGAAAAUUGAGGUGGAUGCAUUGAUAUUCGCCUAACUGAUCGAUCCGAGGGUUUCCUCAACGUUAUCUCUAACAAUCAAAAAUUCUUCAAAUUUCAUACUGAAUUUGUGUCCGCGUAGUUGAAAAAUUGAGGUGAAUGCAUUGAUUUUCGCCAAAUGAUCCAUCUUUGAGUUUUCGCUUUUCUCAACGUCAUCUCUAACAAACAAGGUUCCAACAUGUUAAACCUUACUUUUGCUGACGAGAACUUCAUCAAAUAUAAAGAGGCUGGCGUCAAGGAUGCAAAAUAAGCUGCAUUUUUCUUGUUGCUGGGGGGCUUGGAGAACUCCUUGGAUACUAUGGAAUCAAGGUGAUAAAUCUUCUGCAUGUUUCAACCCCCCGUCCUCUCUCCAAGGGAAUAUGAUAAGCAAGCAAGUGAUGGGAGCAAAUUAUCUUUACCUUCCAUUUGUUGGUACUACUGUCAAACAUGAACGUAUUUGUUGCUGUAUGGUUUUGAGGGCUCUAGAAGAUUUUUCUUGUGUGACUUAUAUAAUGGUGAUUUACAUUGGGAUGUCAAUAAUCACCCUCUUUCACCCAUUUCCUCUUGGAUGUGUACUUUAUUUGUUCCUUUUUCCAACAUGAUUACUGUGGUAUCCAGUCUGUCAUGUCCAGCACCUUUCCUUUGCUGUUGUUGGAAAGCAAUUUGUUGUGUAGAUGCCUUAUUUUGUAACUUCUGACAGUCCAAUGUUUUAUAAAUAUUGGAUUAUGAUAUUGAUCUUUGUGAAAA